AAGGUGUUCAUACGUUUGAU
rnacentral:siRNA from 1 species